rnacentral:rRNA from 1 species
UACGUAGGGUGCGAGCGUUGUCCGGAAUUACUGGGCGUAAAGAGCUCGUAGGUGGUUUGUCGCGUUGUUCGUGAAAACUCACAGCUCAACUGUGGGCGUGCGGGCGAUACGGGCAGACUGGAGUACUGCAGGGGAGACUGGAAUUCCUGGUGUAGCGGUGAAAUGCGUAGAUAUCUGGAGGAACACCGGUGGCGAAGGCGGCAUCCUGGACCGGCAUUGACGCUGAGGCGCGAAAGCCAGGGGAGCAAACGGG